rnacentral:rRNA from 1 species
AGGUAAGCUACUAAGAGCGAAUGGUGGAUGCCUUGACUGGUAAAGGCGAUGAAGGACGUACUAGACUGCGAUAAGCUACGGGGAGCUGUCAAGAAGCUUUGAUCCGUAGAUUUCCGAAUGGGGCAACCCAAUGUAUAGAGAUAUGCAUUACCUAUAUAGGAGCGAACGAGGGGAAUUGAAACAUCUUAGUACCCUCAGGAAAAGAAAUCAAUAGAGAUUGCGUCAGUAGCGGCGAGCGAAAGCGCAAGAGGGCAAACCCAGUGCUUGCACUGGGGGUUGUAGGACUGCAAUGUGCAAGAGGUAAGUUUAGCAGAACAUUCUGGAAAGUAUAACCAUAGAGGGUGAUAGUCCCGUAUGCGAAAAACAAACCUUAGCUAGCAGUAUCCUGAGUAGGGCGGGACACGAGGAAUCCUGUCUGAAUCCGGGUCGACCACGAUCCAACCCUAAAUACUAAUACCAGAUCGAUAGUGCACAAGUACCGUGAGGGAAAGGUGAAAAGAACUGAGGUGAUCAGAGUGAAAUAGAACCUGAAACCAUUUGCUUACAAUCAUUCAGAGCCCUAUGUAGCAAUACAGGGUGAUGGACUGCCUUUUGCAUAAUGAGCCUGCGAGUUGUGGUGUCUGGCAAGGUUAAGCAAACGCGAAGCCGUAGCGAAAGCGAGUCUGAAUAGGGCGCUUAGUCAGAUGCUGCAGACCCGAAACGAAGUGAUCUAUCCAUGAGCAAGUUGAAGCUAGUGUAAGAACUAGUGGAGGACUGAACCCAUAGGCGUUGAAAAGCCCCGGGAUGACUUGUGGAUAGGGGUGAAAGGCCAAUCAAACUUCGUGAUAGCUGGUUCUCUCCGAAAUAUAUUUAGGUAUAGCGUUGUGUCGUAAUAUAAGGGGGUAGAGCACUGAAUGGGCUAGGGCAUACACCAAUGUACCAAACCCUAUCAAACUCCGAAUACCUUAUAUGUAAUCACAGCAGUCAGGCGGCGAGUGAUAAAAUCCGUCGUCAAGAGGGAAACAACCCAGACUACCAGCUAAGGUCCCUAAAUCUUACUUAAGUGGAAAACGAUGUGAAGUUACUUAAACAACCAGGAGGUUGGCUUAGAAGCAGCCAUCCUUUAAAGAAAGCGUAAUAGCUCACUGGUCUAGUGAUUUUGCGCGGAAAAUAUAACGGGGCUAAAGUAAGUACCGAAGCUGUAGACUUAGUUUACUAAGUGGUAGGAGAGCGUUCUAUUUGCGUCGAAGGUAUACCGGUAAGGAGUGCUGGAGCGAAUAGAAGUGAGCAUGCAGGCAUGAGUAGCGAUAAUUAAUGUGAGAAUCAUUAACGCCGUAAACCCAAGGUUUCCUACGCGAUGCUCGUCAUCGUAGGGUUAGUCGGGUCCUAAGUCGAGUCCGAAAGGGGUAGACGAUGGCAAAUUGGUUAAUAUUCCAAUACCAACAUUAGUGUGCGAUGGAAGGACGCUUAGGGCUAAGGGGGCUAGCGGAUGGAAGUGCUAGUCUAAGGUCGUAGGAGGUUAUACAGGCAAAUCCGUAUAACAAUACUCCGAGAACUGAAAGGCUUUUUGAAGUCUUCGGAUGGAUAGAAGAACCCCUGAUGCCGUCGAGCCAAGAAAAGUUUCUAAGUUUAGCUAAUGUUGCCCGUACCGUAAACCGACACAGGUGGGUGGGAUGAGUAUUCUAAGGCGCGUGGAAGAACUCUCUUUAAGGAACUCUGCAAAAUAGCACCGUAUCUUCGGUAUAAGGUGUGGUUAGCUUUGUAUUAGGAUUUACUCCGAAAGCAAGGAAACUUACAACAAAGAGUCCCUCCCGACUGUUUACCAAAAACACAGCACUCUGCUAACUCGUAAGAGGAUGUAUAGGGUGUGACGCCUGCCCGGUGCUCGAAGGUUAAUUGAUGGGGUUAGCAUUAGCGAAGCUCUUGAUCGAAGCCCGAGUAAACGGCGGCCGUAACUAUAACGGUCCUAAGGUAGCGAAAUUCCUUGUCGGUUAAAUACCGACCUGCAUGAAUGGCGUAACGAGAUGGGAGCUGUCUCAAAGA